UUCCGGUUGAUCCUGCCGGACCCGACUGCUAUCAGAGUGGGACUAAGCCAUGCGAGUCAACGCCGUAAGGCGUGGCAUACGGCUCAGUAACACGUAGUCAACAUGCCCAAAGGAUGUGGAUAACCUCGGGAAACUGAGGAUAAACCGCGAUAGGCCAAGGUUUCUGGAAUGAGCCAUGGCCGAAAUCUAUAUGGCCUUUGGAUUGGACUGCGGCCGAUCAGGCUGUUGGUGAGGUAAUGGCCCACCAAACCUGUAACCGGUACGGGCUUUGAGAGAAGGAGCCCGGAGAUGGGCACUGAGACAAGGGCCCAGGCCCUAUGGGGCGCAGCAGGCGCGAAACCUCUGCAAUAGGCGAAAGCUUGAC
rnacentral:rRNA from 1 species